rnacentral:rRNA from 1 species
GAUGAACGCUAGCGGCAGGCCUAAUACAUGCAAGUCGAACGGUUGUAGCAAUACAAUAGUGGCGCACGGGUGCGUAACACGUAUGCAACCUACCUUAUAGAGGGGGAUAGCCUUUGGAAACGGAGAUUAAUACCCCAUAAUACAUUGACUUGGCAUCGAGUUAUUGUUAAAGAUUUAUCGCUAUAAGCUGGGCAUGCGUCCAAUUAGUUAGUUGGUGAGGUAAUGGCUCACCAAGACUUUGAUUGGUAGGGGAACUGAGAGGUUAAUCCCCCACACUGGCACUGAGAUACGGGCCAGACUCCUACGGGAGGCAGCAGUAGGGAAUAUUGGGCAAUGGAGGCAACUCUGACCCAGCCAUGCCGCGUGCAGGAAGAAGGCGUUAUGC